rnacentral:tRNA from 1 species
GCGAAAGUGGUGGAAUUGGUAGACACGCUAGAUUUAGGAUCUAGUGCCUCCGGGCGUGAGAGUUCAAGUCUCUCCUUUCGUA